rnacentral:tRNA from 3 species
UGGUUCCGUAGCUCAGUUGGAUAGAGCAGCAGCCUUCUAAGCUGCGGGUCGCGCGUUCGAACCGCGCCGGAAUCACCC